GCGAACGCUGGCGGCAGGCUUAACACAUGCAAGUCGAACGCCCCGCAAGGGGAGUGGCAGACGGGUGAGUAACACGUGGGAACGUACCUUUUGGUUCGGAACAACACAGGGAAACUUGUGCUAAUACCGGAUAAGCCCUUACGGGGAAAGAUUUAUCGCCAAAAGAUCGGCCCGCGUCUGAUUAGCUAGUUGGUGAGGUAAAGGCUCACCAAGGCGACGAUCAGUAGCUGGUCUGAGAGGAUGAUCAGCCACACUGGGACUGAGACACGGCCCAGACUCCUACGGGAGGCAGCAGUGGGGAAUAUUGGAGAAUGGGCGCAAGCCUGAUCCAGCCAUGCCGCGUGAGUGAUGAAGGCCCUAGGGUUGUAAAGCUCUUUUGUGCGGGAAGAUAAUGACGGUACCGCAAGAAUAAGCCCCGGCUAACUUCGU
rnacentral:rRNA from 1 species